rnacentral:rRNA from 1 species
UACGUAGGGUGCAAGCGUUGCCCGGAUUUAUUGGGCGUAAAGGGCGCGUAGGCGGCUCGGCACGUCCGUUGUGAAAUCUCCCGGCUCAACCGGGAGGGUGCGCCGAAAACUGGAGGGCUAGAGUGCGGGAAGGGAGAGUAGAAUUCCUGGUGUAGCGGUGAAAUGCGUAGAUAUCAGGAGGAAUACCGGUGGUGUAGACGGCUCUCUGGACCGCGACUGACGCUGAGACACGAAAGCGUGGGUAGCAAACAGG